GCAGAGACAAAUUUAAUAAUCCAAAGCAAAAAUUCAGUCAGUAAGAAGUGUUUUGGACAAAGAUCACAAUGUGGAUCAAGCUUUCUGUCAGAGACUUGGGACUCAGAGUCACCAGGGGCAAGCAGGUUGCUUCAGUCCACUUCUGCAGAUGGCAUGAAGCAGAAGCAUAGUCUGGGCAGAAGAUUAUGCACGAUCACUAACAUGCAAUUCCAGAAACAAAGGAGAUUUAGGAGCAAAAGUGAAAACAUCUAUGUUAUUUUUUUCCCCCUUUAUCUUUUAUUUUAUAUCAAAUUAAAUGGGUGGGUAAAAGCCAUUCUUUUAAAUUGACAUGGUUACGUUGGAUGCAUUCAGAAGGAGGCAAGAAAUAUGAUGGCAUUGUUCGUCUAUGUGGUUGCCUAUAUAAGCAGAAUUUCACAUGAAAAGAGGAAAUGCAGGGAUAAUAUGUCAAGUGUCUGCUUUCUUAUGUUAUCCUGUCCAGCACCACAGAUUGUGAAAUGGUUAUUUCAAUGUCUGCAUAAGUGAAAUGCCCUUAUUCAUGAUUGUUUGUUCUGUUUCCAGGAGUUUCUGUAAUACAAACCACUUAAGUGUGCAUCCCCUAGUCUGCAGAUGCUCCACAUCAUGUGUUAACCCUUGGUGCAGAGAAGAUUUGGGGAAUUCCUGCACAACAGAAUGGGUUUGUGCUGUCUGAGCAUGUCUUCCCUGAAUUCUUGCUUCCAAAUCUGAAUGCAUUGCACAAGCUGGGUGAACCAGUGGGAAUACUGUUAACAGAGCAAAUGACUUGGACCUUAAACUCUGCCACUUUUCUCAUGACAGUGAAAUGCUGAAGCAAGAGCAUCAGUGACCUGUAUAUUCAGCAAGCUAAGUGUAUGAAGUUUAGGACUCAAGUCCUGUGUUUGCCCUGAAGAACUGUCCAGCAGUCAGAAGAAUUUCCCUCCAAGAAAUAAAUGUCAAGCUGCAGAACUUUUCACACACAAGCACAAAGCUAGACACUGUUUUCUUUACCAAACUCUCAUGACUACUUUGGAGUAGACAGAAAUGAAUAUAAAAGAAGAAAGUUUUACACCCCAAUUGUCUCAGACUGAGUUUUAGAAGAUUCAGUGAUUCAAAGACAAAUUUACUGCUAGUGUGAAGCUUUCAAUCUGAAACUAUGUAGAAGUUUAUCUGAUUGACUAUAAAGAUUAUGAGUCUUCUGGAAA